rnacentral:rRNA from 1 species
UGGGGAAUUUUGGACAAUGGGGGCAACCCUGAUCCAGCAAUGCCGCGUGUGUGAAGAAGGCCUUCGGGUUGUAAAGCACUUUUGUCCGGGAAGAAAUCGCACCUGAUAAUAUCGGGUGUGGAUGACGGUACCGGAAGAAUAAGGACCGGCUAACUACGUGCCAGCAGCCGCGGUAAUACGUAGGGUCCAAGCGUUAAUCGGAAUUACUGGGCGUAAAGCGUGCGCAGGCGGUUGUGCAAGACCGAUGUGAAAUCCCCGGGCUUAACCUGGGAAUUGCAUUGGUGACUGCACGGCUAGAGUGUGUCAGAGGGGGGUAGAAUUCCACGUGUAGCAGUGAAAUGCGUAGAGAUGUGGAGGAAUACCGAUGGCGAAGGCAGCCCCCUGGGAUAACACUGACGCUCAUGCACGAAAGCGUGGGGAGCAAACAGG